AUGGGUACCUGAGUUUUGAGACACCAUAUAUUGUGGAUAUUGAAUCGGGUUCAUUUCAUUUAAAAUUCAAAAUGGCUGUCGUAUUUAAUACAGCCAUAAUUGUAAUUGUGCUGUGGUCUCCGUUUGUGGUGUGUUUCAAUCAUACAGGAUGGCUUCGUCGAAUGUCUCAGACGCCGUUUCCGGAAGUGCGUAUGCGUCAUAUGCGGCAUUCCGGACUUUCUACGGAACAAUUUGUAUGGCCUAUGAAAAAAGAGGCCGUGGUCGAGGGCGAUUUGCUCCUCGGUGGAUUGAUGAUGGUCCAUUCUCGCGAGGAUACCCAGUUCACUUGCGGUCCGAUUAUGGCUCAAGGUGGUAUACAGACCGUAGAGACGAUGCUCUAUACCUUGGAUCAAAUCAAUAAACAGUGGACCAAGUUUAAAAUCGGAGCCCUCAUAUUGGACGACUGUGAUAAGGAUACGUAUGGAUUGGAAAUGGCUAUAGACUUCAUAAAAGGUUCUAUUAGCAACAUAGAUGAAACUCAAUAUUUUCAUUGUAACAAGUCACAAGUAAGAAAAGUAAUAUCUGGCGUAGUUGGAGCAGCUUCAAGUGUUACAUCUGUUCAAGUAGCAAAUUUAUUAAGACUUUUCAAAAUACCCCAGGUCUCGUUUUGGUCAACUAGUCCUGAACUAAGUAAUAAACAACGUUUUGAAUACUUCACACGAACUAUACCUUCAGAUCUUUACCAAGUGAAGGUUAUGGUAGAAAUUGUCCGGAGACUUGGCUGGAGUUACAUAUCAAUUAUUUACGAAGAGUCCAGUUAUGGCAUUAAAGCUUUUGAAGAAUUAGAGAAGUUGAUGCCCAAGUACAAUAUCUGUAUUGCGGCAAAGGAAAAACUAGUAAAAGAUUCGGGCGUGGCAGAAGAAAAAGCUUAUGAUGAUAUCGUGAUUAAGCUUCUCGGCAAGCCUAAGGCUAAGGGGGUUAUAGUUUUUGGAUCAGACCAAGAAGUAGUGAGUUUAAUGAAAGCAGUAAGGAGAAAUAAUGCCACUGGAAAUUUUUCAUGGAUUGGUUCAGAUGGAUGGAGUGCAAGAGAUAUGGUAUCAGCUACAAAUGAAGCCGAAGUGGAAGGAUGCUUAUCUGUUCAACCUCAAGCUAACCCUGUCAUUGGGUUCGAAGAGUACUUCUUAGGACUCACUGUAGAAAACAACAAAAGAAAUCCCUGGUUCACAGAAUUCUGGGAAGAGCACUUCCAGUGUCGAUAUCCGAGAAGCUUGAGAACACCGUACAACUCUAAUUAUUCAAAUGAAUGUGACUCUAAGUUUCAUCUGAGAGAAAAAAUACCAAAGUUUGAAAACCAAUUACAAUUUGUUAGUGAUUCCGUACUAGCAUUUGCACAUGCAUUGUACGAUAUGCAUUCUGAUCAUUGUGGUCCGAACUUUGUUGGUUUAUGUGAAGCCAUGAAACCUGUUAAAGGACCUGAACUCUUAAUGUAUCUCAGAAAAGUAAACUUCACAGGUCUCACGGGCGAUAAUUUUCACUUCGAUGACAACGGGGACGGACCUGCCCGUUAUAACAUCAUUCACUUCAAACAGGUAGAGCCAGGCGUUUUUAAAUGGAUCAAAGUCGGUGUGUACUCGGACGGCAAACUCAAUCUCAACAUGUCCGAGAUGCGGUUCAAAACAGACUCAUCAAAUCCACCGGAAUCCGUUUGCAGCUUGCCGUGCCAAAAAGGCCAAGCUAAGCAGUAUCUGGAGGGCGAAAAAUGCUGCUGGCACUGUUUCAACUGCACACAAUACCAGAUCCGUUCACCCACUGACGACACCAGAUGCGAAGUCUGUCUCGAAGGCACGUUACCCGACAGUAAUCGUCAACGCUGUUUGGAAAUCCCGGAAGCAUUUUUACAGAUCGGGAGCAGUUGGGCUAUCGGGGCGAUGACACUGUCAGUGGCAGGUAUUGCCAUCACUUUGUUAGUGGUUUCCGUGUUUAUCAAACACAAUCAUACACCGAUCGUGAAGGCCGCUGGCAGGGAAGUUUCGUACGUACUUUUGUCCGGCAUACUGCUGUGCUAUCUCAUCACGUUUGUGCUCGUUCUCAAACCCACUGACAUCGUAUGCGCAGUACAAAGAUUUGGUGUUGGGUUCUGUUUCACUGUUGUGUAUGCUGCAUUAUUAACAAAAACGAAUCGCAUAUCACGCAUAUUUAACGCCGGACGACGGACUGUUAAACGUCCUAAAUUUAUAUCACCAAAAUCGCAAUUGGUCAUCUGCACAGGACUCAUAUCGAUACAAGUGCUCAUCAACGGCGUAUGGAUGCUGGUCAGCCCGCCAAAGGUCAUACACUAUUAUCCUAGCAGGGAGUCGAAUAUACUAGUUUGCUCGUCGUUCAUCAACACAUCGUACGUGAUAGCGUUCGGAUACCCAAUAGUGUUGAUUGUCGUGUGCACCGUUUACGCUGUGCUCACCAGAAACAUUCCUGAAGCCUUCAACGAGUCUAAGCACAUCGGUUUCACAAUGUAUACAACAUGUGUCAUAUGGCUCGCAUUCGUUCCGCUAUACUUUGGAAUUGGCAACCAUACUCCACUAAGGAUAACUACCAUGUCAGUAACCAUUAGCCUAUCCGCUAGUGUAACUAUAGUUUGCUUGUUCUCUCCAAAGUUGUAUAUAAUUUUGUGUCAUCCGGAACGAAACGUGCGUCAAAGUAUGAUGCCAAAUAUGAAGUUAACGGGCACUAAAACAUUUACAACAUCGAAUACGAAUGCAUUUUGUAACAAUUCAACAAGACGGCGCAGCUCAUUAGCUUAUAAAGAUUCCAGUACGGAUAUGCAUAUCAGCUUGGAAAAUCGAAAACAAGUUCUCGAACGAGCCGUACAAACAGAAGAGACGAGAAUCGUAUCGAGAUCGUAAUCGACAAACAAUUUCGAACGUAUAAUAUCUUUUAUUCCCCUAACCAUCGAAUGAAAAGCACAAAGUCCAAACAGUAUACAGAGUGAUCAAAUCGUAGACGUAAAUAGAAUUUCGUUUUUCUACACUUUACUCAAACUCGUUGAACAACCAUCAAUUCGGAUAGCGGAUAUACUUAUCACAACAAUAGAUACGAUAUUGAAUUGCUACAACAAAGUUUUUAGUCAAACGUCAACUAUCAAAUUACCGAAAAGGGGAUUU
rnacentral:misc_RNA from 1 species